rnacentral:lncRNA from 1 species
GCAUUUAGUCUCAAAACUUUAUGUUAAAGGUACAGAUUAUAUGUGAAAAACACAUUUUUUCCUUUAAAUAAUUUUCUAAGUACUUUACCAGUAGCUUUCUGAUCUGUGAUGGUGAAUUUUACAUGCCAACUCGGCUACGCCACGGUACCAAGAUAUUUGGUCAAACACUAGUCCAUGUGUUGCCGUGAAGGUAUUUUUUAGAUGAUAUUAAUAUUCAGAUCAGUGGACCGUGAGUAAAGCAGAUAACCUUCAUACUGUGGGUGGGCCUUACUCAAUCCGCUGAAAUAAAUGUUUCUUAAGCACCUGAGGUUUAGUGAUUGUAAUCUCAACCUAACUCUCCUAUGCUGUCUAAAACAGGUCUUAAGAGAAAAAAGAUGGACAUCCCCAAAGACUCUUCCUGCCUGCUGGGGGCCUUCAGAUUCCGUCUGCGCCUUCAGCUCUUCUCCGAGCCUCCAGGCUGCCCGGCCAAUCUUGGACUUACCCUCAAAAUCAUGAGAAUGACAUGGAGGUCAACAGAGAACUACCGCUGUGAACAUCUGACUGUGGCCUUGGACCGUGGUGGCUGGAGCAUACUCUGGCAGGGAGAGGACGGCUAAGCACGAUCAUGAGAGGCAGGGGUCUGGGCUCUAGACUCGGAGACGAAGGGCACCCUGCCUCAAUAUUCUUGGCUGUAUGUUUUGAGUAAGACAUUUAAG